AAUCGACGAACAGAUAUAGCGUUGGAGGAAAAAAUAGUAGCUUCUAAUAGAAACAUAAGAAGCACUACAAAAUCAUAGCUUCUAAUACAUUGGAUAUUUCAAUUCAAAACUUAAGAAUCAAAGUAUAACACAGAAACUAUUUGGAUGAUAUCAUCAAGGAGCAUUAAAAAAUUAAAGCUAGCAGUGUUCAAACCGUGGCUUCUAAUAUGAAGCUGGUAAGCACAUAGAUGGAAAAAUACUCAACACAUACAAAACUACCUCACAGCUUUAAUGGUAGACUCUCCACCUAACUCUUUGCUUUCAUCGAAUACAACCUUUGGUGACGGAGGCAACCAAUCGUCAUCACCUGCUACAAUCACUUUCACAUCUUCAUCUUUCUUUACAAUCUACAUAAAAGCAAUUAUUAAAUGUUUCAGAAAAAAAAAGGUGUGGUUUUUACUAAUCCAUACAAAGAUUCAAGUUCCAAUAAGGUUAUUGAUAAGACCAAAACUAAGGACACGUAAACAGAACAAAGAACAACCGCAAGGAUCAAACAACAGUUUCAGGUAUUCCAUAGCCUUUAAGCAUAUCAACUUUUUUUCUCCCAUCUUUUGUGAGUUGUGAAUUUCAAUAUACACAAAGAACUCAGUGAGCAAUACAAUCAUAAAGAUCAAUGCUUAAUUUGUGGCAACCUUUUGCUCUCUUCCUUAUUUGUACUUCCAAGACAUCAGCUUCAAGAUUUUCAAACCGAGAAGAAGAAUUUAAUCUCUAUAUUUUCAAGCUCCGUCGCCAAAUCAAUAACAGAGACUCACUGUCAAUGCAGUUACGAACUCAAGCGGAGGAACAGAGCAAACCUGGGAAUCAAGCAGCAACAUAUCGACUCCCAUGAGUUCGCCACCGCAUCCGAUGUUCCUGGCCUCCCAAUAACAGAGCAACUGCACUUGAACGGUGGAAUAGCAUUAGCCAUACUGAAAAUAAAAUUACUGGUUUCGGAAUACGAAAGGAGGAGAUGAUUCUCAUAGCAUGAAAGCAUACCCUUUUAUAGUCGAAAUUCCACCGCCUUUCAUGAGUUAAGAUCGCAUUCAAGAGAGAUCAUGGGUAUGUAUUUAAGAAAGAGUUGAAGAGGGGUAAUCUGUAACCGGUAUCACUGCAGAUUGAUAAGGAAGAAGAUGAAACGCUCGCUCUUGGAACACAGGUUAAGCCUCGAUCUCCAAUGGCGGAGAAGUAUGCUUCAACCCUAAUUGCAAAAACAGUUAAUAUGCGUUUAAACUAAGACAUACUGGAAUCGGGCUGUACCAAUUUUGAGAAUACAGAUAAAGCCCGUAACAAUGAAGCCC
rnacentral:lncRNA from 1 species